rnacentral:rRNA from 1 species
GAGUACGGCCGCAAGGCUGAAACUUAAAGGAAUUGGCGGGGGAGCACUACAACGGGUGGAGCCUGCGGUUUAAUUGGACUCAACGCCGGAAGACUCACCGGGGGCGACAGCAAUAUGUAGGUCAGGUUAAAGGUCUUACCUGAAUCGCUGAGAGGAGGUGCAUGGCCGUCGUCAGUUCGUACUGUGAAGCAUCCUGUUAAGUCAGGCAACGAGCAAGACCCGUGCCCACUGUUACCAGCAUAUCCUUUAUGGAUGAUGGGGACUCUGUGGGGACCGCUGCUGCUAAAGCAAAGGAAGGUGCGGGCUACGGUAGGUCAGUAUGCCCCGAAUCUCCCGGGCUACACGCGGGCUACAAUGGUUGGGACAAUGGGUAUCUACUCCGAAAGGAGUUGGCAAUCUCUUAAACCCAAUCGUAGUUCGAAUUGAGGGCUGUAACUCGCCCUCAUGAAGCUGGAAUCCGUAGUAAUCACGUUUCAACAUAGCGCGGUGAAUCUGUCCCUGCUCCUUGCACACACCGCCCGUCAAACCAUCCGAGUGGGGUAUGGGUGAGGGCACGAACUUAGUGUCGUGCUCGAACCUAAAUUUCGCAAGGAGGGUUAAGUCGUAACAAGGUAGCCGUAGGGGAAUCUGCGGCUGGAUCACCUCCU